AUGCCCUUCAGCUGCACAUAUACUAAAACUGGAAGGAUAUGGAGAUUAGCAUGGCCACUGCCCAAAUUCACACACAAAUUCAUGGCGCAUUCCAUAUUUUA
rnacentral:snRNA from 1 species